rnacentral:lncRNA from 1 species
ACCCCCAAAAUCCCUCCACCACUCCCCCAGACCCCCCCAAAACUGCCCCGGGAUCUGCCCAGGACCCCCCCGGGACACCCAAAACCCCCUCAGGACCCCCGGGACCCCCCCAGGACCCCCUCGGGACCCCCCAAAACCCUCCCAGGACCCCGCCGGGACCCCCUCGGGACACCCAAAACCCCCCCGGGACCCCCCAGGACCCCCCCGGGACCCCCCAGGACCCCCUCGGGACACCCAAAACCCCCUUGGGAUCCCCCCAAAUCCCCCCCUGAACCCCCCAAAACCCCCUCGGGACCCCCCAGGACCCCUUCGGGACACCCAAAACCCCCUCGGGAUCCCCCCCAAACCCCCCCAGGACCCCCGAAGCCCCCCCGGGACCCCCCCAAAGCCCCUCGGGACACCCCAGGACACCCCCGGGACCCCCUCGGGACCCCCAAAUCCCCCCAGGACCCCCUCGGGACCCCCAAAACCCCCUCGGGAUCCCCCCAAAUCCCCCCCAGGACCCCCGAAGCCCCCCCGGGACCCCCCCAAAGCCCGGCCCUGAAUGGCCGCGCUGUUCCCGCUCUGAGCCGCCUUUGUUCGGCCCGGGGGGGUGGGGGGGGCCCGGUUGCCAUGGGAACGGUCACCAAACCCCCCCCCAACCCGGUGUCACCGCGCCAGCGCCACCCGCGGCCACCGGGGGGGCAGGGACCCGCUUUUGGGGGGUCCCCGCUCCAUUCUGGGGGGUCCCCGCUCCAUUUUGGGGGUCCCCGUUCCAUUUUGGGGGGUCCCCGUUCAAUUCUGGGGGGUCCCCGUUCAAUUCUGGGGGGUCCCCGUUCCAUUUUGGGGGGUCCCCAUUCAAUUUUUGGGGGUCCCCGUUCCAUUUUGGGGGUCCCCGUUCAAUUCUGGGGGGUCCCUGUCCAAAUUUGGGGUCCCUGUCCAAAUUUGGGGUCUCCCAUAUUCCAUCUGGGGGUCCCCAAAUCCCUCCCAGAACCCACAAAUCCCCACAAAUUCUCCCCAAAUCCCCCCAAAUCCUCCACAACCCCCUCCCAAAAUCCCCCCAAACACCCCCAAAAUCCCCCAGACUCCCCCCAAAUCCCCCCCAAAUCC